rnacentral:rRNA from 1 species
GACGAACGCUGGCGGCGUGCUUAACACAUGCAAGUUGAACGGAGUGGCGAACGGCCUAGUCACACGUGGGUGACCGGCCCUGAACUUCGGGAUAAGCCUGGGCAACUGGGUCUAAUACCGGAUAGUGUGGGAUGGGCCUGCGGCGUAGAUGCUUGUUGGUGGGGUACUGGCCUACCAAGGCGGCGACGGGUAGCCGGCCUGAGAGGGUGGACGGCCACGUCGAGACUGAGACGCGGACAAGACUCCUACGGGGGGCAGCAGUGAGGGAUAUUGCACAAUGGGCGGAAGCCUGAUGCAUCGACGCCGCGUGGGGGAGGACGGGCUUCAGGUUGUAAACUCCUUUCACCGUCGACGCGGUAGAUGGAGAAGACGCACCGGCUAACUACGUGCCAGCAGCCGCGGUAAUUC